rnacentral:misc_RNA from 1 species
GUGAAUCAUCAAAUUUUUGAACGCAAAUUGCACUCUCUUCGGAGAGUAUGCCUGUUUGAGGGUCAGCCUAAAAAAAAUCGACAUAGUUCUGGUUAGCCGUUACCUUUGGUGGGAAUUUGGUUAAUUUUAAACCUUUGGUUUAAGCGGGUUAAAAUUUCUCUUUAGGAUUCAAAGAAGGUUCUUAGGUUUUUAUUUUUUUAUAGUUUAAGGUAUUGAUUUUUUAUUAGA